GAUGAAGAACGUAGCGAAAUGCGAUACGUAAUGUGAAUUGCAGAAUUCAGUGAAUCAUCGAAUCUUUGAACGCAUAUUGCGCUCUUUGGUAUUCCGAAGAGCAUGCUUGUUUGAGUAUCAGUAAACACCUCAAAGCUUUUGGAUUUUUUAAUCGAAAAGCUUUGGACUUGAGCAAUCCCAACACCAAUCUUUUUGAGAUCGGUGGCGGGUUGCUUGAAAUGCAGGUGCAGCUGGACAUUCUCCUGAGCUAAAAGCAUAUUCAUUUAGUCCCGUCAAACGGAUUAUUACUUUUGCUGCAGCUAACAUAAAGGGAGUUUGACCGUAUUGGCUGACUGAUGCAGGAUUUCACAAGGGUCGGCAACGAUUCUUGUUAAACUCGAUCUCAAAUCAAGUAAGACUACCCGCUGAACUUAAGCAUAUCAAUAAGCGAGGA
rnacentral:misc_RNA from 1 species